GGAGGGUGCGAGCGUUGUCCGGAUUUAUUGGGGUUUAAGGGGUGCGUAGGCGGGUUUAUUAAGUCAGUGGUGAAAGUCUGCAGCUCAACUGUAGAAGUGCCAUUGAUACUGGUAGACUUGAGUAUACUAUAGGCAGGCGGAAUUUAUGAUGUAGCGGUGAAAUGCAUAGAUAUCACAAAGAACCCCGAUAGCGAAGGCAGCUUGCCGGCGUAUAACUGACGCUGAUGCACGAAAGCGUGGGUAGCGAACAGGAUUAGAUACCCUGGUAGUCCACGCCGUAAACGAUGAUUACUCGCUGUUGGCGAUAGACAGUCAGCGGCUUAGCGAAAGCGUUAAGUAAUCCACCUGGGGAGUACGAUCGCAAGAUUG
rnacentral:rRNA from 1 species